GGGAGAACGAAGCAACCCCAUAAUAGCCACCACCCUCAACGUCUGGAGGAAACUAUCGGCAGAGGCAGAUCUUUCCCCACCUAUUACCCCCUCCACCCCAUCAUAGGUAACCCGGCUUUCAGCGGCCUUGACACCGCUCGGACCAUGAUCAGCUUGGGACUGCCGCUGCAAUGUAAGCUACAACACAUGCUUACAAAUGGAGGCAUCACACCGCUUCCUGACCUACCCAUGCCGGAACCUCC